UAGGGAAUCUUCCACAAUGGACGCAAGUCUGAUGGAGCAACGCCGCGUGAGUGAAGAAGGUUUUCGGACCGUAAAGCUCUGUUGUUGGUGAAGAAGGAUAGAGGUAGUAACUGGCCUUUAUUUGACGGUAAUCAACCAGAAAGUCACGGCUAACUACGUGCCAGCAGCCGCGGUAAUACGUAGGUGGCAAGCGUUGUCCGGAUUUAUUGGGCGUAAAGCGAGCGCAGGCGGAAGAAUAAGUCUGAUGUGAAAGCCCUCGGCUUAACCGAGGAAUUGCAUCGGAAACUGUUUUCUUGAGUGCAGAAGAGGAGAGUAGAACUCCAUGUGUAGCGGUGGAGUGCGUAGAUAUAUGGAAGAAUACCAGUGGCGAAGGCGGCUCUCUGGUCUGCAACUGACGCUGAGGCUCGAAAGCAUGGGUAGCGAACAGGAUUAGAUACCCUGGUAGUCCAUGCCGUAAACGAUGAGUGCUAAGUGUUGGGAGGCUUCCGCCUCUCAGUGCUGCAGCUAACGCAUUAAGCACUCCGCCUGGGGAGUACGACCGCAAGGUUGAAAC
rnacentral:rRNA from 1 species